rnacentral:rRNA from 1 species
AACGCGAAGAACCUUACCUGGGCUCGAAGCGCAGUGGAAUCCGGUGGAAACAUCGGCGCCCCUUAAAAGGCUGCUGCGGAGGUGCUGCAUGGCUGUCGUCAGCUCGUGUCGUGAGAUGUUGGGUUAAGUCCCGCAACGAGCGCAACCCUUGUCCUGUGUUGCCACUCCCGUAAGGGAAGCACUCUCAGGAGACCGCCAGCGAUAAGUUGGAGGAAGGUGGGGAUGAUGUCAAGUCAUCAUGGCCUUUAUGUCCAGGGCUACACACGUGCUACAAUGGACGGUACAAAGCGCCGCAAACCCGCGAGGGGGAGCCAAUCGCAAAAAACCGUUCUCAGUUCGGAUCGCAGGCUGCAACUCGCCUGCGUGAAGCUGGAAUCGCUAGUAAUGGCGUAUCAGAACGAUGCCGUGAAUACGUUCCCGGGCCUUGUACACACCGGAGUGC